CUUACCACAUGCAAAACUGAACUCCUGAUCUUCUUCCCCAAACCUGUUGUUCCUAUAAUCUUCCUUCUAUUAGGAAGUGGUAACUCCAUCAUCCUAGUCAUGUCAACUGAAGCAAUCAUUUAACCUUUCUGAAUUUCAGUUUCUUCAUUUAUAAAGUGAUCAUUGCACCCAUCUCAAAGUCAGUGUGAAGAUCAAAUGGGAUAAUAUGAUGUAAAUGCUUCUCAGAGUACCUGCCACAGUUAGCAUUCCAUAAGGAUGAUUCAAGUAUGGCCUUGCAGUUCUUUCAUCCUAAUGUCUUUUACAUCCAUCUUUUCUUUCUUUCUCUUUUAGAUCCCAAUUAUCUUAUCCUGAGACCAUGACAAAAGUUUCUUAACUGGUAGCCUUGGCUUAGUAGUAAAGUAGUAGUCAUAGAUAAUAUGAUUCUCUCCAUUUAAAGAUAAAGAAAAUGAAAAUCAUCCAAAUAUGACCUAGAUCUCUCAGCUUAGAAAGCAACUAAGUGAAACCCAGGCCAAGUAAAAAGCCAGUUUUCUGUAUUCUCUAGUAUUUACCAGUUUCAUCCUCUGGAAUGCAGCUUUUACUCUGCUUAUUGCCAGGUGAAGAGCAGAACCUAAGAGGAUAAUAUGAUAACCAAAGAAGGCAACUGAAAAAUGGAAAACAAGAGAAGGUGUUCCUAAACUGGAGAGAGGCCUAACACCAAAGCCAGCUUGUGGUAAAUGGAAUAAAAAAGUAUACUGAGUCUUCAUGACCUAUGGGACUUGCCAGAGGUUGCCUAAGGCCUCACAGACCUGGACCUGAAUUCCAACUCUGCCACUUACUAGGUCUUGGAACUGGGUCAGUGUUUUAAGUUGGCGAGGUAUCCAUGAGGUUUUCAACUGGGUCCACUUCUACCAUGAUCUCCUUUCUCCUGGCCGUUUCUUUAAAGGGCCUUGUGACAGCCCUUUAUUUGUGAGGCUCUGCACUUGCGGAUGGAGUCGCAUAUGGAAUGAGGGAAACGGCACAUUUGACAAAUGGGAAUCAUGAUUGUCUGGCCUCCUGACAGGUGUUGAUGUGUUCUCCUGACCUGUAAAUGUUGCAGCUGACUGAUUACAGUAAUUGAUUGAGAAAA
rnacentral:lncRNA from 12 species